GGCCGUUUUGUCCUGAGGGCCAGAGAAAGGGAGAAGGGGGUGGGGGGACAGCCACGUGGCCGCAGGAGGAUUUACAACAUUUUCUCUCGCCAUCGAUGUUAUCGCAAAAUGUGUGAGAGAAGCGGCUGCGCAGCCCGGACGGGAGCGUGAGGGCGCGGGCCAGGUAAGCAGCCCCGGCGGUUUCGCCGCGUACGGGACUGCGGGGCGACCGCGGGCACCAGCCACGCGCAGCGGCUCCGCGGGGUCUCGGCCGGGUCCGCGCUCUGAAGGAUCUCGAGUGCCAUGGGUGGUGCAGGCGGGACCCUCGAGCUGCAGCAUCUCCGGUGACCCGGGGUUGCCGAGGAGGUGGAGACCAGCACAGGUGGUGCGGCCCGGGCGCCUCCGAAUCCGGGGGUGGUCAAGACGGAUCCCCAAGGCUGAGGUCGGCAGUCCCGGGGACUCGCAGCUGUUGAGCCUGUGGAGACGCGGCCUCGUGACCGAGGCACCCUUCAGCAACCCGGGGGCAGCGUUCCAGAGACUGAACUUCUCAAAUCACUGCUUCAACAGCUUUUAA
rnacentral:lncRNA from 1 species